rnacentral:rRNA from 1 species
GAUAGAACGCGUGGCGGCGUGCUUAACACAUGCAAGUCGAACGAAGAAGAGUUGAAUGAGAGCUUCGGCAGGAUUUCUUCUCAUCUUAGUGGCGGACGGGUGAGUAACGUGUGGGCAACCUGCCCUAUACUGGGGAAUAAUCACUGGAAACGGUGACUAAUACCGCAUGUCAUCACCGAGGGCAUCCCUUGGUGAAAAAAGGAGUAAUUCGGUAUAGGAUGGGCCCGCAUCUGAUUAGCUAGUUGGUGAGAUAACAGCCCACCAAGGCGACGAUCAGUAGCCGACCUGAGAGGGUGAUCGGCCACAUUGGGACUGAGACACGGCCCAA